GGUACCUUUAAAUCAGUCCAGAGAGGCUGACAAGGACAGCGGACAUUUGCGGAUGGAUAGGCUUACGAAUGUGAUGAGAUUACACACAUUUUGUAGGUUUGAUUCUGCAAAUUUGAAGGCUAAUUGUCAGAUCUACUGAUAAUUAGCCUUUUUU
rfam:Bacillus sp. TS-2 DNA, contig: BspTS2nb02.